AUCCAUCUGAGUCCCAAAUAGGACGAAACGCGCGUCAAACUGGAU
rnacentral:hammerhead_ribozyme from 1 species